rfam:Porphyromonas gingivicanis strain COT-022_OH1391 contig_12, whole genome shotgun sequence.
GGGGCUGACAUGGCUUUGACAGCGUGACGAAGGGGUAGGUAAGCAUGUAGUGAGUUGUUGCUCUCUCACUUUAAUCUCAAGCAUCGAAUUUUUUAGUUGGCGAAAAUAAUUACGCUCUCGCUGCCUAACCGAAGUAUAGUAAGUUAGCUUGCUUAAUCUGAGCCGAUAGGCUCGGACGAGACGUUGCCCAAGACUCUUGCUCCGAAGUUCCUUGAGUAAGGCAACGCACGUAUAUCGGGGUUCAGCACCACUCUUUCCAUGAGGUGGUUGUCUGAUUUAGAUCAUGGAAUAAGGGUAUCUCUUUGGUUGCCUUUCCCGUAGGAGUACCACGAAAAUUGUAAGCAAGGCUAAACAUGUAGAAAGCAUAUUCAUUCCGCGUUUGGACGAGGGUUCAAUCCCCUCCAGCUCCACAA